rnacentral:rRNA from 1 species
AUUGAACGCUGGCGGCAGGCUUAACACAUGCAAGUCGAGCGGAGAGAGGUAGCUUGCUACUGAUCUUAGCGGCGGACGGGUGAGUAAUGCUUAGGAAUCUGCCUAUUAGUGGGGGACAACAUUUCGAAAGGAAUGCUAAUACCGCAUACGUCCUACGGGAGAAAGCAGGGGAUCUUCGGACCUUGCGCUAAUAGAUGAGCCUAAGUCGGAUUAGCUAGUUGGUGGGGUAAAGGCCUACCAAGGCGACGAUCUGUAGCGGGUCUGAGAGGAUGAUCCGCCACACUGGGACUGGUAAACGGCCCAAGCUCCUACGGGAGGAAGCAGUGGGGAAUAUUGGACAAUGGGCGGAAGCCUGAUCCAGCCAUGCCGCGUGUGUGAAGAAGGCCUUAUGGUUGUAAAGCACUUUAAGCGAGGAGGAAGCUACUUUAGUUAAUACCUAGAGAUAGUGGACGUUACUCGCAGAAUAAGCACCGGCUAACUCUGUGCCAGCCGCCGCCGUAA